ensembl:lncRNA
AUGAGGUCAGGGGGUUCCUUCUGGCAUGGCAGCACCUGUGUUAGCAUCCACGGGGCCGUGUGGAACAUUGAGUUGAAGCAGAGAACUGGUUCAGCAGGCAGCAGCUGGCUUUAUAGUUGCCAGUGCUGGCAGUGUUGUAAGCUGCUUGUGGUUGCUGUGGUCUGCUCGGAGCUCUUCUCUCCCAGGUUAUUUCUUCCCACCCUUAAGGUUGCCUUCCUCAUUCUGGGGUACUGCUACAUAUGAAUAGCUUGCUUAGUACAGCCAUAGCAAAGUUGGUAUUGCCUCAACAGAGGUGUCACCCACCAAAACUGCAAUAUUUUUUUCAUCACCACAACUAAAAAUAGCUCGCUAGGUAAGAAUUUUCAAGGGAGAAAAACUGAAAACAGUAUUUCACUGUCCUGCACAAAACAAAGCUCCAGUUUUUUGUAAACUUUUCUGACUGGCUGACAAUAUUGCCUGCGCUAACAUCGCAACAGUUACUGUUUUAACACUGACAAAAAUAGGGGGUGAUCUUUGUUCAGGCAGUCACAGAAUAGGCUGCGCUCAUCCUUUUAAGUUUAACUUGUCCAUAUCUGCAACUGUGGCUUGCUUGUUGAGACUGAAGCAAAAGGAUUAUUACAGCACUUUUCUGAAAGCUGUCUUUUAGCUUUAAGUUUCUACAAGUGGCAAAGUCUGGCUGUUGUGAGUGCCUUUUUUGCUUGCUGGGGCAUAUAAAUAAUUUCCCUUAUUACUAUUCUGUUUUGAAUGCAUUCUCUUGGUGCAGUCCCUUUAUGUGGAUUUGAAGCAGUCUUUCCCUUUGAUCUGCCCGGGGAUUAUUAACUUGCUGUUGUAAUUAACGGAGGCUUUGUCUUUCUCCUGCAAUCUUUAUCAAAAGAUCUCAGAGCCUUUUGUAAAUGUUAAGCGAUUUGAAAUGCGGCAGAGGCUGGUGAAUUGUGUGUGUGGUUCAUCCCUAGAACAGAGACAAAGAGUCUCACUGUAUUUCCACGCACUGUGCUUGGGGACUAUUUGACAUGUGCCAGUACAACAGUCUUCCUGAGAAAUGCCAGUUUUUGCAAAACUCUCUCUUUUUUUGAUGUUGGCUGCUCCACUAGGAGGAAUUAUCUGGUGUGUACAUCCCUCUGGAGGAGGGAAGGAGUGUUGUGCUGCUGGUCUGCAUGGGGUACCAAUGAAGUUUUAUAUCGACUUUCCAGUUUUCAGAACUCUCAGGAUAUGAGUUGCAGGCGAGCAAGUGGCUGGUUGAAAAAGUACCUCUGGUCCUGGUUGUGUCUCUGUGAAGAGCAGUAAGACUGGGGGCAUGAGAAGAGCUUUCUGUGCAGCGCUGGUUGUACAGUCUGUGCACGUUUCUCUUCUACAUGCUGUACCAAAGAGGAUGACAGUUACUUGAACAAGUCAUGAACAGUAGAGCCAAGAGUAACAGAGCAGCACAGUAACUUCCAAAGUUAGGGUUUAGUCACGAGAUGAAAGUAUAAAAUGUAAAAGCUGUGGUCCAGCAGUGCUGAGGAGACAGCUCAGCAUUGGUUGAGUUAGAAGGAAAUCACAGUACUCGGAGCCCUGUGAUGGUUCUGUGGCAGCUGCUGCUUUCUGUGGGGGAGACUGAGCCCUGCAGUCAGAAAUAACCAGGGCUAAAAUUAAGUAGCAUUUGCUUUUAUAAGAGGCCGAAGCUUGUGGAUGGCUUUUGAAUAGCAAAGCAGAGACCAGUAAAGACUUAAGAGAUGAACUGCACUAUGUCCUUUUUUUAUAUAUAUAUAGAUAUAUAUGACUAGAAUUAUUAAGUUGAAGAGAAAAAGAAUGAAAUUGUUACCAUGUUUGCUCCUUCUCAAAAAGGAGAAAGCAGAAACUUCUUUCAGUGCUCCUGCUAACUUUAAAGGUCAUUUCCCUACUGUGAGAGACCCUUGACAGCCAUGGUGGUGCUUCCACCAUCCUGCAACUGAUUGCUGCUGUUCUGUGCAGUGUGCAUUUAAUCCUUUGCACCAGCACAGCCUGCCUGGUUUACAGAUAUAGUGCUGUUUUGCAUGUGUGUGUGCAGUCUGGUUGUUAUAUUAAUUUUUUGGAAAGGCCAGCGCAGCUCCUGCCGUGACAAAAUUGUGUUGACUGCUGGUACUGCCAGGGACUGUUAAAACGUCAUAGAGCUGCCAGGAAGCCCUUGCUGCUUUCCAGGGGACUGGUGGAGAAGUGACCUUUUUCUUUUGAAUUUGAAUUUCUGGAUGAGGGAGAUACUUGGGGCUUUGGCUGAACGCCUUGGCCACUUGCCCAUCCAUCUCUGCAUUUGGACUUUGCUAGAGCUGGCUGCCAAGGGCCCAGAGGAGUUGGGAUGCCUAGCCUGCUAGCUGAGCAUCAGCUCAGAGAGGGGAUCCCAAGCCAGACAUCUGGGAGGAAUCCCAGCUACUUCUGCCAAAGCUCUUUCCAAGGCACUGUCUUUCUGGACCUGUAUUUACAAGUGGGUUGCCCUGUGCAGGUUCACAACUCGGUCAUUAGACUGUCAGCCAGUGUUACCUUAAGGCUGUAAGCAUUUAGCAGAGCCUGUGCUGGAAGUCAAAGUGGGGGCACGCUGUCUGUGAGCAGGGGACCAUUUCCUGGGUGCUAGGGCAGCUCACAGGAGA